rnacentral:lncRNA from 8 species
GGACACAUUAUUCAAUUUCUGUUAGUCACAUGUCUUUGGAACUUGUUCAGUUUAUGUCUCAGUUGUUGAAUCUUGUUAUGUUCAUACAAAUAUUUACACAUGUUAAGUUUGCUGAAAAUAAACUCAGGUCACAGUGAGAGGACCUUUCUUUCAAUAUUUUAUUGUUUUUCUAGCCACACAUACGGUUCAUGUAUCUAGGCUAAAGGUUCUGUCCUGGUGACUCUGGCUGAGUGUGUCUGGUGUGUGUAAUAACCAUAUGUGUGUAGAUCAGCAGCAAGCUCCUCCUCUCCUCUCUCCUUCCCUCUCCACUCCCCUUCCCUCUCCUCUCCCCUUCCCUUCCCUUCCCUCUCCUCUCCCCUUCCCUUCCCUCUCCUCUCCUCUCUCCUUCCCUCUCCUCUCCACUCCCCUCUCCUCUCCCCUUCCCUCUCCUCUCCCCUUCCCUCUCCUCUCUACUCCCCUUCCCUCUCCUCUCCACGCUCCUCUCCUCUCUUCUCCUCUUCCCUUCCCUAGCCUUUAUCCUGCCAUUUACCCUGCCAUGGUUUAUCCUGUCAUUUACCCUGCCAUGGUUUAUCCUGCCAUUUACCCUGCCAUGGUUUAUCCUGUCAUUUACCCUGCCAUGGUUUAUCCUGCCAUUUACCCUGCCAUGGUUUAUCCUGUCAUUUACCCUGCCAUGGUUUAUCCUGCCAUUUACCCUGCCAUGGUUUAUCCUGUCAUUUACCCUGCCAUGGUUUAUCCUGUCAUUUACCCUGCCAUGGUUUAUCCUGCCAUUUACCCUGCCAUGGUUUAUCCUGCCAUUUAGCCUGCCAUGGUUUAUCCUGCCAUUUACCCUGCCAUGGUUUAUCCUGUCAUUUACCCUGCCAUGGUUUAUCCUGCCAUUUACCCUGCCAUGGUUUAUCCUGUCAUUUACCCUGCCAUGGUUUAUCCUGUCAUUUACCCUGCCAUGGUUUAUCCUGUCAUUUACCCUGCCAUGGUUUAUCCUGUCAUUUACCCUGCCAUGGUUUAUCCUGUCAUUUACCCUGCCAUGGUUUUUCCUGUCAUUUAACCUGCCAUGGUUUAUCCUGUCAUUUACCCUGCCAUGGUUUAUCCUGUCAUUUACCCUGCCAUGGUUUAUCCUGUCAUUUACCCUGCCAUGGUUUUUCCUGUCAUUUAACCUGCCAUGGUUUAUCCUGCCAUUUACCCUGCCAUGGUUUAUCCUGCCAUUUACCCUGCCAUGGUUUAUCCUGUCAUUUACCCUGCCAUGGUUUAUCCUGUCAUUUAACCUGCCAUGGUUUAUCCUGUCAUUUACCCUGCCAUGGUUUAUCCUGUCAUUUACCCUGCCAUGGUUUAUCCUGCCAUUUACCCUGCCAUGGUUUAUCCUGCCAUUUACCCUGCCAUGGUUUAUCCUGUCAUUUACCCUGCCAUGGUUUAUCCUGUCAUUUACCCUGCCAUGGUUUAUCCUGCCAUUUACCCUGCCAUGGUUUAUCCUGUCAUUUACCCUGCCAUGGUUUAUCCUGUCAUUUACCCUGCCAUGGUUUAUCCUGCCAUUUACCCUGCCAUGGUUUAUCCUGUCAUUUACCCUGCCGUGGUUUAUCCUGUCAUUUACCCUGCCGUGGUUUUUCCUGUCAUUUAACCUGCCGUGGUUUAUCCUGUCAUUUACCCUGCCGUGGUUUAUCCUGCCAUUUACCCUGCCAUGGUUUAUCCUGUCAUUUACCCUGCCAUGGUUUAUCCUGUCAUUUACCCUGCCAUGGUUUAUCCUGCCAUUUACCCUGCCAUGGUUUAUCCUGCCAUUUACCCUGCCAUGGUUUAUCCUGCCAUUUACCCUGCGAUGGUUUAUCCUGUCAUUUACCCUGCCAUGGUUUAUCCUGUCAUUUACCCUGCCAUGGUUUAUCCUGUCAUUUACCCUGCCAUGGUUUAUCCUGCCAUUUACCCUGCCAUGGUUUAUCCUGUCAUUUACCCUGCCAUGGUUUAUCCUGUCAUUUACCCUGCCAUGGUUUAUCCUGUCAUUUACCCUGCCAUGGUUUAUCCUGUCAUUUACCCUGCCAUGGUUUUUCCUGUCAUUUACCCUGCCAUGGUUUAUCCUGUCAUUUAACCUGCCAUGGUUUAUCCUGUCAUUUACCCUGCCAUGGUUUAUCCUGUCAUUUACCCUGCCAUGGUUUAUCCUGUCAUUUACCCUGCCAUGGUUUAUCCUGUCAUUUACCCUGCCAUGGUUUAUCCUGUCAUUUACCCUGCCAUGGUUUAUCCUCCCAUUUACCCUGCCAUGGUUUAUCCUGCCAUUUACCCUGCCAUGGUUUAUCCUGCCAUGUGAGCGGAAAAUCCCCAGCCAUGACAGGCUUUUGGUUUCAGGGCAACCCACACCACAGUGUCACCCUACCUCCAUCCUCCUCCCUUCUUCUUCCCCCUCUGUUUGGCCUCAUUCAUCAAGCUGUGUUUGGGGCUCCUGUCUCUGGCUGGGUACACUGCCACCCCAUACUAGUACCUCCCCUAGAGAUGGCACUACAGUCCCAGUACUACUCCGUCAUCUCUCUGCCAUCUAUAU